rnacentral:tRNA from 1 species
GUUCCUGUAGUGUAGUGGUUAUCACAUUUGCUCAAAACCCUAAAGGUCUCUGGUUCAAAACCAGACAGAAACU